UUCAGGAAGGAGUGAAGAAGAUGGUCAGGCUACUUGAGAAUAGACAAGAUUCUUCUGGCAGGCCUCAGAUCUCAUUCCAGGAAGCUGCAGAGAGAAGAGGCGCAGCCACUGAAGACAGAACAGGUUCUCCUGGCAAGGAUCAUGAUAUUCAGGGAAGAAUAAAGAGGAAAACAAAGAAAUGCAGC